UCAAGCAGGAAGGAUUAGGUGGGGAAGACUAAUCAAAGUGGAGAGGUAAAAUCACGCUUGAUUUUGUUGAAGUGAUUCAUUAAGAAAUUAAGAGAAUACAAGGAUUUGAGGUGAUUCAAAAGAGAGGAGUAAGACAGAGAUCUAAUAUGUGGAUUUCAGUUAGAUUUUUUUGAUUACAGAGGUGGAAACUGCUAUGCACUGUAUUUCCAUAGUGGCUGAGCAGAAGUCACAGAGGGCAAUGGCUGCCCUUGCCAUGGAGACUAGGGCGGGCUGUGGGUGCUUAGGAGCAGAUCAAUGCGCACAUCCUGUCUGGCUUCUCACUGUUUCACUCACAGUGUCCUCACUCUUCAGCAUGGCUCACACUGAUUGGUCAAAUGGCUAUUAUUGACCACACCAGAGGCAGAGUUGAUGAUAUCACUUUCUAUGAAAGGUUCUGGGUAAUGGUGGCCUAGCAGAGGCAGCGGGAGUGCUUCACUGCCACGACAGACAGCGUCUCAGAAUGUGCGUCAGAGCCCUUUAAUGUUUUACUGAAGAAUUACAGCAUAACAUGUCAGCAGCCGAGCGGCUAAGGAGCCUCUUUCUGUCAGGCGCAUGUGCUGUAAGAACAAGAGCAAUGGCCAGCUGCAGCUGCAGUUCCUCCUCUCCGCUGGUCGUGGGCCGAGCUUGCUCCAAGUCUGGAGCAAGUUGAGGAGAGGAAGAGGAGGCUACGGAGACGGGGGAAGAGCAGAGGGGAUUCGGGUGUUUACCGAGGAAGAGGGAGCAGAGGGAUGUCGACAGAAAACAUUAACAGAUGGAAAUGGGGGGUGGAAAGCCAAGAGAGCAACACUUUGGGCUGAUUUUUAAUGUCAAAAAAAGAGCUGGCACUGUCAUUGCAUGUUAAUUUUUUCCCAUUGCCUGUUGUUUAGGGCCUUUGCUGGCAUUGCUUGCCACGGUCUGCCUAACUCUGCCUGCACUGAGAACAAUGGUGCGCCUGUGUGGAGAGUUAGGGUGGUGGUGGUGGUGGUGGGGGGAAUGGACGGGUUGGAGACGGUCCCACCUUAUUACCCUGAAUCUUCUGGGUGGAAUCCAGGAUUCGGGUCCAGGUUUCGGGAAGGCGUGGAAAGGGGGGGGGGGUUGGCAGUACACCAGUCUGGGUUCUAGGCUGUGGGUCAUGGGGCUAAAACAGUGCAGCAGGCCACACACUGGCAGAGUCAGGUCUCAGAAACUAAUCAUUUCCACUUUGCUGCCCUUCAAUAUCCCCCGUCUGAGCUGGAAUGCUUGCUGGCAAUUAGCUGCUGCCAAUCUCCUGACCCACACCCUCGCUAUCCAUCAGCACCACCAACAUUUCAACCGUGUGCUGGUGUCCAGGAAUCUCCUGAGAGACCCACCACUAUCUUCCUUUCUUUUGCCUUUCUGAGCAGAGAAAGAAGCUGUGCUGUCGUGCAGUGUUGCAAAAAGUGGAAUUACCGCAUUUACACAGGCUGAAGGCACACACAGAUAUACACCUAACUCGCCUUUCAAGUAUUUAAACACCUGCAGCACAUCUCCCAAGUACUUAGUCUUUGUCAGCUAGGGUCCUUCUGAAAGCAUUCCUGGUUGAGUAAAAACCAAGUGAUUAUAAUUACUUGCUAUGAUCACUGGAGUGUGAAACUGUUACAGCAUGAAAGCCAGCCUCUGUCUGAUAAACUGCGGCUUUAAACUCAGCAUUUUGUGGUCUUAUCAAAUGUAUUUCAUUUUUCUGUCUAUUACAAAGCAUGCUUGUACUGUAGCAUCGCUGAACCCCCAGAUCGAGAGCUCUGGAGGCUGUAAAUGGCCACAUGUUUCCACUGGCACACAGAGAAGUAUGCAAGAAGCAUCUAUCAAGUAUCGGUGAAAAAGUUUUGUGGGAUUUUGUGGUAAUAAAAGAUACCAGAUACCA